GCGCUGUUAGCUCAGCAGGAUAGAGCGGUUUCCUCCUAAGAAACAGACCACUGGUUCGACUCCAGUACAGUGCACCA
rnacentral:tRNA from 1 species